GACGAACGCUUUCUUCCUUCCUAAUACAUGCAAGUAGAACGCUGAAGAGAGGAGCUUGCUCUUCUUGGAUGAGUUGCGAACGGGUGAGUAACGCGUAGGUAACCUGCCUUGUAGCGGGGGAUAACUAUUGGAAACGAUAGCUAAUACCGCAUAACAAUGGAUGACACAUGUCAUCUAUUUGAAAGGGGCAAUUGCUCCACUACAAGAUGGACCUGCGUUGUAUUAGCUAGUAGGUGAGGUAAUGGCUCACCUCGGCGACGAUACAUAGCCGACCUGAGAGGGUGAUCGGCCACGCUGGGCUGGGAACACGGCCCAGCAUCCUACGGGAGGGAGCAGUAGGGAAUCUUCGGCAAUGGGAGCAACCCUGACCGAGCAACGCCGCGUGAGUGACGAAGGUUUUCGGAUCGUAAAGCUCUGUAGUACGUCAGGAAUGGGUGUGAGAGUGGCAAGUUCACACUGUGACGGUAGCUGACCAGAAAGGGACGGCUAACUCCGUG
rnacentral:rRNA from 1 species